CUCACUUGACGCAUGCCCAUUUUGCGUGUGCUAACUUUCUCUCAUGUCGCACAGAUAGACUACUACUGUAUUUUUACCAUUUUUCUUUCACCUCAUAUUUGGUCUCAAAUGCUGAUACUAUGUGGGAAUGCAUAAAGACAGCCACACUGUGGUGACCCCCUCAUGGCAAAGGCAAAAGGACUUUCUCUCUUGGUAGACGUCUUGCAACGCACCAUUGCUGCUGAGUUUGGACACAGUAAGAUGAUUCAAGACAGAACAGGGCAUCUCCUGGAUGUGAGUAGCCAUGUGUGACACAAAAUAGCUAAUGA